rnacentral:rRNA from 1 species
AUUGAACGCUGGCGGCAAGCCUAACACAUGCAAGUCGAACGAGUGGCGGACGGGUGAGUAAUGUCUGUGAAACUGCCUGAUGUAGGGGGAUAACUACUGGAAACGGUAGCUAAUACCGCAUACCAUCGGAUGUUCCCAGAUGGGAUUAGCUAGUAGGUGGGGUAAAGGCUCACCUAGGCGACGAUCCCUAGCUGGUCUGAGAGGAUGACCAGCCACACGGGAACGGAGACACGGUCCAGAGUCCUACGGGAGGCAGCAGUGGGGAAUAUUGCACAAUGGGCGCAAGCCUGAUGCAGCCAGGCCGCGUGUAUGAAGAAGGCCUGCGGGUUGUAAAGUACUUUCAGCGGGGAGGCGUUACCUGCAGAAGAAGCACCGGCUAACUCCGUGCCAGCAGCCGCGGUAAUUC